CCCCGGGAGGCGGGCGUGGUACGUUGGGGGUGGUGGCAGCAGCGGCAGGUUUUCCCAUGGAGCCGGUCCAUUUGCUCCCAUUUCCCCCCAUGGUUUGCCCUGAGGGCGGUCCCUGUUGUCCCAAGUUCGCCGAACGUCCAUCUCCAGGUCAGCCUGCUCCCUAGAGGAGGCCACCGUGAGGUCAGGGGGCAAGAGAGGUGGCUGCUGCGGGGAAGCCGGAUGCCCGUCUCCAGGUGACAUUUUAGGUUAUUGGGUCACAGAUUGCUGGCACACUCAUCCCUGUUCUCAAAUAUCUUUUAAACUUGGGUGAAGUGAUAAGUAGGGGAAGAUGAUUUACUGAAAGCAAUGCAGAGUCUCCCGAGAACAGAUUCAGACUGAACAGAUUUGUGUCAGAAUUUGGGAGACCCCUGGUGCCCAAGAUGUUCUCUGGCAGGUCAAUGACGAAUCUAGGUCCCUCUUUCACUGCUACGUCAAUGAAGUGGGCCACUUCAACAAGGCCAAACCUGGUAUCCCAACCAUAGCCCUUGACAGUGAUGUUCGGCUCCAGGAAGCCAUCAGAUGCAGCAGGUGGCCAGAGGAGGAGCCGAACGUGCUCAUGAAAUGUGACAUCCACAACUUCAUCAACACGGACCAGAACUCUUCCUUUGGGGAAGAUGAUCUCCUGACUUUCGAACCACCGAUUGUUCUAGAAAAUAAGCCAGUUGCCCAGACCCCACACAAAGACUUGAAUUGAGAAACGUGCUUUGUCAGGUGUCUUUUUGAAGAUAUGAAUUCUGUCUUUGUAUGGCAGGAAUUCCCCUUUCACAAAAUUGUAUGUGUUUGUGUCUGAGAGAGAGAAAUGGAGACAGACAGAAAGAUGAAGAAGCAGAAGAGAGCCCCCUCAGAAGAGAGCUAGUUAAGCAUCCCAGACUGACGAAGACAGUGGAGAAUGCCUCUGAGUUUGGCACUGAUUGACUGGAGAAUGCUGAAACCCAGGGAAGUGGGCAGCACAGACGUUUACUCAUUUAAUCCUGCCAACACAGUAGGAGAUAGAGUCUACAUAAUCCUCGCUACUUAAAAGAACUCGGAGAGGAUCGCUGGCCCUCCUGCGCAUGCGCAGUCAUUGCCAGCUGGAUCUAGGGUUGGAAGCUCCAGCUCCGAGCCGGGGAUCGGCCCCAAAGCUGCUCAGCUCUUUCGCCUGAUUCUCCUGGUGGAGUCGGGAAAGGGGAGCGUCAGUGCUGAGCGAGCUUCCGUCUCCUCCCUCAGUGUUUCUGCCCCAGACAUCACCAUGGAACAUGUGGGGGUUUGUGCCUGCAGGCCGGGAUGCUGCAGGACUCCCUGGUCCAUCACCGUUAUGUCUUGGAGCUGCUCCAGUCAGUGAAUGACUUUCUGUGGCUUGGAGUGUAAGAAUUCUGGUGACUGUUAGAAGCAUGCUUCCAAGCUGUCCGUGUCCUCGGCAUCCAGAAGCGGAGCCUGGAAGCUACUGAAUUUCUCCAGAAUGCGUUCUACAUUCACCUUCGGCAGAUACUCAGCACUCCCUGCACCAUUUGUUGAAUAGACUAUUCUUUCAAUGGAGUGUUGUUGGCACCCUUGUGGAAAACUGACUGUAAAUAUAAGGAGACUGAGAAUUAGGUCUUCUGUAUUUUGGAUGGAGCUCAUUAUCAAUGACAGGAAGUUGUAAGGAAAAAGAUAUUGAUUCAUCCUGAGAAAAUAUUUUUCUGACCGUCAGCAUUGAAGAGGGUGAACACUGAAGAAGGUGAUCAUUGUUUGAUUGAGACGAGCCCCGGGUUGUACGGAGUCAGCAUCCCUGUCCUGGACACGGCACGUGUAGAUCUGCGUGGUGGGUGAGGCGGCGAGGCUGCGCAGGGAACGCGGAUGCCGGGCCGUUGGGCUGUGCUCAGGCCCGGUGGGGCUUUCUCCUAAGGGCAGUGGACCGUCAUUGACAGAUCUUAAGUAGGGGAGUGGGGUGCUCUCGUAGAUCACUUUUGUCUUGUAGAAUGCUUAGAAACAUUUAGAA